GACAAUACUGACGCUGAGAUGCGAGAGCGUGGGGAGCAAACAGGAUUAGAUACCUGGUAGUCACGCUGUAAACGAUGUCGAUUUGGAGUUUGGGGGCAUGACCCUUGGGCUCCGGAGCUAACGCGUUAAAUCGACCGCUGGGGAGUACGGCCGCAAGGUUAAAACUCAAAUGAAUUGACGGGGGCCCGCACAAGCGGUGGAGCAUGUGGUUUAAUUCGAUGCAACGCGAAGAACCUCACCUGGUCUUGACAUCCAUAGAAUCUUUCAGAGAUGAGAGAGUGCCUUCGGGAGCUAUGAGACAGGUGCUGCAUGGCUGUCGUCAGCUCGUGUUGUGAAAUGUUGGGUUAAGUCCCGCAACGAGCGCAACCCCUAUCCUUUGUUGCCAGCACGUAAUGGUGGGAACUCAAAGGAGACUGCCGUUGAUAAAGCGGAGGAAGGUGGGGACGACGUCAAGUCAUCAUGGCCCUUACGACCAGGGCUGCACACGUGCUACAAUGGCGUAUACAAAGGGAUGCGAAGGUGCGAACUGGAGCGGACCUCACAAAGUACGUCUAAGUCCGGAUUGGAGUCUGCAACUCGACUCCAUGAAGUCGGAAUCGCUAGUAAUCGUGAAUCAGAAUGUCACGGUGAAUACGUUCCCGGGCCUUGUACACACCGCCCGUCACACCAUGGGAGUGGGUUGCACCAGAAGUAGAUAGCUUAACCUUCGGGAGGGCGUUUACCACGGUGUGGUUCAUGACUGGGGUGAAGUCGUAACAAGGUAACCA
rnacentral:rRNA from 1 species